rnacentral:rRNA from 1 species
UACGGAGGGUGCGAGCGUUGUCCGGAAUCAUUGGGCGUAAAGGGCGCGUAGGUGGCCCCUCAAGCGUGCGGUGAAAGUCAGGGGCUCAACCCCUGAUCGGCCGUGCGAACUGGGGAGCUUGAGCACUGUAGAGGCAGGCGGAAUUCCGGGUGUAGCGGUGGAAUGCGUAGAGAUCCGGAAGAACACCGGUGGCGAAGGCGGUCUGCUGGGCCAAGACUGACGCUGAGGCGCGACAGCGUGGGGAGCAAACAGG